AUUGCAUUUGCAUUUGCUCCCUUUCUGAUCACAGGCUGACAGCAGUGCUGCAAAACAUGCAGGUUUGGCCAGCUAAGCAAGACUGUUAUUAAACAGAAGAAAAAAAGGAGAGAAUUAAAAGAAGGAAGAAAUAAGGCAGCCAGUGUUUGUAUCCGUCCAUCUGCCAAAGGCCUUUUGAGGACCUCAAAAGAGAGUGAUGGGUAGAACAGUCCAUUGUCUCAUUAUUUGUUCACCAAUGAGGCCUAAUUUCUGACACACCAAUUUUGGAUCAUUGAUUGCCAAUCGCACACUCCUCUUGUUUAUCAGAUCCCACUGAAUGCCUGUUACAGAUAUUUGCAAAUAAUGAGGCAAACUGAUUAAGCAAUGUAGUAACUGGGACAUAUGAAUCAAACCAGAUUACCUCAGAGUGGAAGCACCACAAAUAUCACUUCUUCCUCCUGUCAGGGGAUUUUGCACCAUUUCAGCGGAUGGGACAGCACAUGGGUUCUAUCAAACUGUUUCACUUCUUUUAAUCCCGUCCUUCACCCAUUCUUCAAAGUGUUGGUAAAACCAAGGUUAUUCUUAAUGGGUAAUGGCAGUUAAAAAAAGAGCACAGCCAACAUGCCUUGAAUUGCACGUUGAGAUCUCUGUUAAAUGUUAAAUACAAAUGUACUGCAUUGUCUUACAAAAAUCUGGGGGGAAUGUGCACAGAGAUCACUGCUAGGUGAGGAAACCUAUGAAUUUAAAUAGAUAGAGUCCAUUUUUUGACUGCUUGGCCAUGCCCUUCCAUGGCUCCUCUAAUGAAAGACCUUUAGACAACACUUUCCAUGAUGUUUGGAGGUAGGGAGAUUCAGAGUGAUUCUGGACAACUACUUACAGACAUACUCUGCUACUCUGUUUUUUCUCUCGUGCGCCUGUGUAUAACACCGACAGAUCCUGUCGCGGGUGGGAUUGAAUCAGGGACCUCUGCAGCUUAGUGCAUGAGCCUCUACCACGUGAGCUAAAAGCCAACUGGCUGUUAGCUACAGCUGUAGAGCAAACUCAUUAAUCUCUCUCUCUCAAGUGGUCUCAGUGCCACCGGAUGGGACAGAACACCACGCCGAGGAGGUGUGUGGGUUACAUGUGCACUUGCCAGAAUUCAGCCUGUGGUUUUGAGUGGCCUCCAUAGAUACAUAACAUGCAAUAUAAUACGAUUUCAUUUUAGUACACUAGAGCAUUGAAAUUUGUUGCCAUUGUUGUAAGAGGCUGCUACUUCUACAGCUGGUGACAAAACACUUCUUGCUUUAUGGAUUAUGGCAUGAGAUUUCCACUCCACUAGAAACACGAGUGUUCUGAGUUAUUGCAUAGUCGUGCAUCCUACCCCCAUCCCCGCUUUAACUCAAGAUAAUGUCAAGAGUGUCCAGUUCUUCGUUUGAGACUAGUUGCAAAUUAAGUAUUUUCUACUUCUGUAAAAGGGAGUUGGCUGCCUGCAGGCAAAGCUUUUUGCAGAGAGGAGUGCAAAGCCUCUUGCAAAACCCAGAACUUCCUUUGUGACUACCUAAGGACACACUUCUGAUUCACAGCAAGCCUCUCUUUUUUUAGCCAUAUAUGGCAAUCCCUUAAAAGAAAAGCAAAUCAGGUAAAAAUCGAGAACAUCACAGAGAAAACCACAGGAGAUGGCUAAAUGCAGAGCUUAAUGAUACAUGCAUGACAGCAGCAGCAUGUAGGCUUAGAUUAUUUAUACCUUUUAUGGUAAGGCUCUGGUGCGGUUCUACUAUAUAAAGGUCAUAUUACACAGGUAAUCAGUGGUCUGGGCCUGUGGCAGCUCUGUAUUACUCAGCAUUUUAACAAUACUCCCGCAAUGCUGUAAGUAAAUAUGUGCAUUCUGAAAAGCAACAUAAAGUCACAGUAAGAGCCAGAACUCAAUGACAUGAAUUACAGGCAUAAUAUAAUGGCUCUGUGCAGUGUUCAUGAGACCUAGCUGGGAAUGGGCGACAGGAUGGAUCACUUGAUGAUUGCCUCUUCUGUUCAUUCCCUCUGAAGCAUUGGCCACUGUCAAAGACAGGAUCCUGAGCUAGAUGGACCUUUGGUCUGACCCAGGAUUGUUCUAAUGACAACCUGGACCAAAUACAUCCACAGUUUAAUUGCACUGUGUUCAAGGAUGAAUUUGGCCCCAUCACAAGUCAGAGUUUUGCAAUACAACAAUUAAAAUGAUGAAUAUUCAGAAGUAAAGGCAGCAGCAAACACAUAUUUCUUCCAUUUGGUUUUAAAUGAUAAGAAAGAUGGAUUAUUUUGAAUAAUGCUAUGAGGUAAAUUCCUUUACCAAAGCCUGAUGACCUGUCUGCAAGUGCCCUGUACUACAGCCUGGUAAAUCAAGGUUCCAGGCUAUCCAGGGGUACUUGGGAUGAUAGGGUGAUGAAAAUGCAGCUGAACUGACACUGCCUUUGGUUACACAGACUCUCCAAUGACUGCAAUCUCUGAGAGGGCUAGUGUGCCUCCGGAUACAUAUGUCAAUAGAGCUGAUGCUGACACAAGGGAAGGUGCAUGAGAUCUAUGAUGAAGAAAAAGCACCAUGGGAUUUUCAGAAGUUACAAGUCGUCGGGACUGCAAUUUUAAGUCUACUAAGGAUUUUCAAAUAAUGGUUCAUUGGAUAUCUGAAGGAAAUAGGAGCAGCUGGGAUUAACUAUGUGAUAGGAAAAGUAAUCACCACUGAUUCCACCUCAAGAUGCCUCUUUAUAUUAAUGGAAUUUCAAUAAGUGUGUGGCCUGGAAGCUAGGGCUAGUUGGCAUUUCUAAACUCACUACAAGCACUGCUAGAACAACAAGAUUAUUUCUCUGCCUGUGAUAAGCAGAGAGCAUUUUGUACUUUAGUUUGUGAGGAGGGCUCCUAUUAUUUAGUUAACAUUUCAACCAAACUCUGUUAACGGACUGAGACUUUGUCUGGAAAAUGAUAUUUAUGUUUAGAAGCAUGCUAUAUAUACGUGUGCAAUGUGUGUUGUGUGUUUACAUGUUAUCCCCUAAUCCUGAAACCAAAUGCUGCAUUGUAUGUGAAAACAGUGAUGAACACACUUUGAUGCCAUUUUUUGUUCUAUCUAUUCAUUGUGUAACAAAACUUCAGCCAACUUUUAGUUCCAUGAAUUCUCUUCUCCUGAUAGGAAAAAAAGUAUUACUCUAAAGAUUAUGGUGCCAUCAAAUAACUUUUAACUCUAUUAGUUGACAGUAAUUAAAAAAACCCUCAAUUUCUAUUGAUUUAAUACCAGAGCUAGGUAUUGUUAAUAUACAGAGAGAAAGCACUCUUUUUCAACAGUAGAUCUCAAAGCACUUCAUUAAGGAGGUCAGUAUCCUCCGCAUGGAGAGACUUGCCCAAAGUCACCCAGCAGGCCAGUGACAGAAUUGGGAAUAGAACCCACAGUCUCUGGAGUCCCAGUCCUGAGGUCAAACCCUCCAGUUUUAAUAGGAUGCAUUCAGCGCUAGUAUUUCUGCAGGACUCUGACUCCAUGUUAAAGGUUUAAAAAGAAAAGUAAUGAAGAGUCUGCUUCGAAUAUGACAAUAGAUUUGUCUCUAAUUUGCUUGUGUGUGGAAAAAGUGACAUGGUUGGUUGUAGAAGAGGCUGAAUCAUUACUGUUAUUGAAUGUUAAAUGAUUAAACUGUUAAAUGAUUUAA